CGUCGUGAGACAGGUUAGUUUUACCCUACUGAUGAGCUGGUCGCCGCGACAGUAAUCCAAUCCAGUACGAGAGGAACCGUUGGUUCACAUAAUUGGUCAUUUCCGUUGAUGGAAACGUCAAUGCGGAGAAGCUACCAUGUGUAGGAUUACGGCUGAACGCCUCUAAGCCAGAAUCCAUGCUGGAAAGCGGCGAUAUGAGCUUUCCCUCAGUCUUCAUGAGUACGUAUAGACUUUCGAGUCCAAGAUCAUACUAUCGCAGCGGCUCUCGCUCGGCCAACAAAGGACGAGCAGACGAGGCGGAACCAAUUUCAACCAAGGGAGAGACAAAUCCUUUGUAUACGACUUAAAUACAGAA
rnacentral:rRNA from 1 species